rnacentral:lncRNA from 1 species
CGAGAGGACCUGUGCUAUGGAUCCAAAAAUUUCUUGCCCCUUCAUCGUAUAAUUUCUGAGGAAAAGAAAAGUGCAGAAGUAUUAGAACAAAGGGAGUCUGACCAAUGUAAGUUAUUCUUCUUUAGUAAAACACAUUGUUUUAUCAAAAACAUGAUGAAAUUAUGUUGGAAUAUUGAAUAGUGUGAAAUUUGAAGGAGAUUCUAUUAUAAGUUAAUUCAACCUUGAUUCCUGUUUCAAAUUCUAAUAAAAUUGUUGGUAUUGAAGCAAGAACUUGAUCCAAAGAUUUCGAGUAGAAAGCUCCAGCAAGAUCAUUCUGCCCUAUGUCAAACAUAUAAAGGCCCUUCCCAAAAUAUUCUGCAGAAGGAAGGUACUUAUCGAGCCUUUUAGCUGCAACAAAUUACAUAAACCAAAACUUACGUUAAAAAAGCAUUAUUGUAAUGUCAUCUUCUUCAUUUAUAGAAGAUAGAAGUAGCUAAAUCAAAGAUGAUCCAAUUUAAUUACUUACAUUUGGCUUGAAUUUCGAGAACACGAGCUUUGAAUCUAAGAAACUGAGCCAGCUGAAUCCCAAAUGAAAAUGGACUAGCAGAUGAUGCAGUUGCUGGAAGUAUGGUAGAGCCUGCAGCUGCAAAGUUGCAUCCUUUUUUGAAACUCGGCGCCCCUAUUGCGUCUAAAUAGGCGUUUAAAAAUGGUAAAUCCAUCGCAUCCACUGCAAAAAAUUAUCCCUUAAAAAUUCAAUACAGGAUUAAGUAUGUAAUUACACAGGCUUUACAAUAUAUUCACUCACAAUGUACUAUUAUUUGUCAGCAUAAUGAAACCAGAGGAAACAGGGCAAUUAACUACUCAAAAAACAGAGGAAACAGGGGAAUGUACUAGUCAGAAAACAGAGGAUCAGGGGAAUCUACAACGUAGAAAACAGAGUAAAAACAGGGGAAUCUUUUAUAAAUUUUAAAAAUUAAAAUUGAAACUGAUAGUCUACAUACAUAAG